UGGGGAAUAUUGCACAAUGGAGGGAACUCUGAUGCAGCGACGCCGCGUGAACGAAGAAGGCUUUCGAGUCGUAAAGUUCUUUUAUAUGGGAAGAUAAUGACGGUACCAUAAGAAAAAGCCCCGGCUAACUACGUGCCAGCAGCCGCGGUAAUACGUAGGGGGCUAGCGUUGUCCGGAAUCACUGGGCGUAAAGGGUUCGCAGGCGGAAAUGCAAGUCAGGUGUAAAAGGCAGUAGCUUAACUACUGUAAGCAAUUGAAACUGUAUUUCUUGAGAUGUGGAGAGGCAAGUGGAAUUCCUAGUGUAGCGGUGAAAUGCGUAGAUAUUAGGAAGAAUACCGGUGGCGAAGGCGACUUGCUGGACACAAACUGACGCUGAGGAACGAAAGCGUGGGUAGCAAACAGG
rnacentral:rRNA from 1 species